GGAGCAUGUGGUUUAAUUCGAAGCAACGCGAAGAACCUUACCAGGUCUUGACAUCCUUUGACCACUCGAGAGAUCGAGCUUUCCCUUCGGGGACAAAGUGACAGGUGGUGCAUGGUUGUCGUCAGCUCGUGUCGUGAGAUGUUGGGUUAAGUCCCGCAACGAGCGCAACCCUUAUUACUAGUUGCCAGCAUUCAGUUGGGCACUCUAGUGAGACUGCCGGUGACAAACCGGAGGAAGGUGGGGAUGACGUCAAAUCAUCAUGCCCCUUAUGACCUGGGCUACACACGUGCUACAAUGGAUGGUACAACGAGUCGCGAAGUCGUGAGGCCAAGCUAAUCUCUUAAAGCCAUUCUCAGUUCGGAUUGUAGGCUGCAACUCGCCUACANGAAGCCNGAANCGC
rnacentral:rRNA from 1 species